rnacentral:rRNA from 1 species
UACGAAGGGGGCUAGCGUUGUUCGGAAUUACUGGGCGUAAAGCGCACGUAGGCGGAUUUGUAAGUCAGGGGUGAAAUCCCGGGGCUCAACCUCGGAACUGCCUUUGAUACUGCAAGUCUUGAGUCCGGAAGAGGUGAGUGGAAUUCCUAGUGUAGAGGUGAACUUCGUAGAUAUUAGGAAGAACACCAGUGGCGAAGGCGGCUCACUGGUCCGGUACUGACGCUGAGGUGCGAAAGCGUGGGGAGCAAACAGGG